CCUACGGGUGGCAGCAGUGAGGAAUAUUGGUCAAUGGGCGAGAGCCUGAACCAGCCAAGUCGCGUGAGGGAGUACUGCCCUAUGGGUUGUAAACCUCUUUUGUCGGGGAGCAAAAGCCGGACGUUUCCGGCUGUGAGAGUACCCGAAGAAAAAGCAUCGGCUAACUACGUGCCAGCAGCCGCGGUAAUACGUAGGUGGCAAGCGUUGUCCGGAUUUACUGGGUGUAAAGGGCGUGCAGCCGGGAAGACAAGUCAGAUGUGAAAUCCCGCGGCUCAACCGCGGAACUGCAUUUGAAACUGUUUUGCUGGAGUACCGGAGAGGUCAUCGGAAUUCCUUGUGUAGCGGUGAAAUGCGUAGAUAUAAGGAAGAACACCAGUGGCGAAGGCGGAUGACUGGACGGCAACUGACGGUGAGGCGCGAAAGCGUGGGGAGCAAACAGGAUUAGAUACCCCAGUAGUC
rnacentral:rRNA from 1 species